UUCACAAAUCAACUAGAGAUUGGCAACCCUUCCGAGUUUAUUUGUCAAAUGCACGAGAGAGGCCCAUAGCUGUCAGAGUAGUAACAAGAGAGUUUGGCAUAAUAGGAGGAAGAAAAAAAAAUCGGAAAAAGAAUAAAUGCAGAAAGAAAAUAAACUACACCCCGACGACGACGAAAGUCUCUGACUGUCUGCUGUCUGUUUUAAAAAGGAAUAUCAUUUUGUGUUGUAUAUAGUGAAAAAAAGAAAGAAAUAACAAUAUUCCAAAAUCCAAUUACAAAAAACACUUGCAAAAAUGUAGUUAAAUUAGCAAAAAAGCAUUUAUGAAACAACUUUACAAAAAUAAAUGGAAAUACUUUACUCAUCACACACCUUUUUGUAAAAGAAGAGGGCCCAAGUGCAAUUAACUCCUUAAGCAAAAGAAAAACCACACCAACACACACA
rnacentral:sRNA from 1 species